GAAGCAAGGAGAAGCAUCACGGAACAGGAUUCUUUUACCGGAAGCCUCUUCGUGGUGGAGCUGGUGCGGCUCCAUCCAGUCCCAGCUCACUUCUGUGAGUGGCUCAAAAUAGCGUUCCUGCAGCUCAGCCUCUGCCUGGAAUGACAAGGCACAUAGAAGACCUUGUACCAAAUCCAACACAUACUCAAGGCACCAGUUCAGUAAUAAAAAACUGAAAAGCCAAGCUAA